CAAAGUUUUGCACUUGUUAAAGGAACACUAUAGCGUUAGGAAUACAAAUAUGUAUUGUUCCGUGGCGAAUAAAUGGUUAUUUAACCAUUUAUUUGCUUACCUUAAUCCAGCGCCGGGCUCCCUCCACACUGGUGACCUCUCCCCUUCCAUCGACGUUGGCUUCCGAGUGGAGCCGAAUGCGCAUGCAUGGCCAUUUAAAUCCGCCCAUAGGAAAGCAUUACUUAAUGUGGGGAUAUUUUUUUGACACUGGACUCCGUGAGGACGUCUAGCGUCAAAUAAGUGCGAUUUACUCCAUGUAAAUCGCUGAAGAGGCCUCUAGUGGCUGUCUCAAUGAGCUGGAGGCUGGAUUAACCCUGCAGUGUAAACAUAGCAGUUUUCUUCACUGUGAUAUGCCCUACUGACCACUUUUAGUGGUACCACGUUUGUGAGUGCAAUUAUCUUUCCUAUUUUAUUGGUGUUGUUGGUUUCAUACUAUGUUGUGUUCUUUUUGUGAUUUUAAGUGAUUAAAGCUAGAAGAAUUUAUCUGACAUGUAUAUGUGAAUCCUGGAAAACCAG